rnacentral:lncRNA from 1 species
AGAACUGGGACCACCGGGGGUGGUGAGGCGGCCCGGCACUGGGAGCUGCAUCUGAGGCUUAGUCCCUGAGCUCUCUGCCUGCCCAGACUAGCUGCACCUCCUCAUUCCCUGCGCCCCCUUCCUCUCCGGAAGCCCCCAGGAUGGUGAGGUGGUUUCACCGAGACCUCAGUGGGCUGGAUGCAGAGACCCUGCUCAAGGGCCGAGGUGUCCACGGUAGCUUCCUGGCUCGGCCCAGUCGCAAGAACCAGGGUGACUUCUCGCUCUCCGUCAGAACUCAGGGGAUUUCUAUGACCUGUAUGGAGGGGAGAAGUUUGCGACUCUGACAGAGCUGGUGGAGUACUACACUCAGCAGCAGGGUGUCCUGCAGGACCGCGACGGCACCAUCAUCCACCUCAAGUACCCGCUGAACUGCUCCGAUCCCACUAGUGAGAGGUGGUACCAUGGCCACAUGUCUGGCGGGCAGGCAGAGACGCUGCUGCAGGCCAAGGGCGAGCCCUGGACGUUUCUUGUGCGUGAGAGCCUCAGCCAGCCUGGAGACUUCGU